CUUUAUCUCUCAUCUCUUCAGAGACCCAAUGCAACGCUGCCUCACACCACCGCCAUCCGCCCACCGGAAAUCGCCUCACCGCGACUCCGGUGUCCAAUCCCUUUCAAAAUUACACCGCAGAACCCCCUCACUCCCCUCAUGCCAAAUCCCCACUCCUUUUUCCUCGAAUCACCCGUGACUUUUCGAAUCUUGGAUCGAAGAUCAGACCCCGAACCCUAACUUACCCAACCAGCCCCAAAAUAACAUCUCAGAACCACCAUGACCGCUUCUUACCAAAUCUUAAAUUAUUUUUCCUCGAAUCUGUCUGGAACUCAUCGGAUAUGGAAUUUGAGUUCAGACCCUAAAAGCCUAAGACCAGACCUGUACGAGCAAGACCAAUCCUCCAAAUUCCUUAGUCAUGCAAGGUUGUUUUGGCACAAAAUAAUGACGUUCGCUUGUUCUUGUCCGAGAGCAAGCGAUUAGCAUUAUUUUGAGCUAGCGCAGAAUGCCAGCAUCGAAUUCAAGUCUAUUUGGUGAGUUCCCUUUCAUUUUUCUGUUCAUUUUUGAAUUUGUUUCGCCUUUUAUUCUUCUUCUUUUCUUUCUUCAGCAUCUUUCUCAGUUAUCCUUCUGUCCACAAGUCUGUUUUCUUCAUCUGCGUUAAUUUUGUUCCAAUAGCAUUUUUGGAUUUAUAAUCAUAUAAGAAAGGUCUAGGUUUAAUUCAAGGCUCUCAAAUUGAAUUGGUCGAGGUUUAUUCGAAUGUGUUUUGGAAAUUAUCAGUCUUCUAGCAUGUUUGAAAGUUCCAUUUAGAGUUCUUAUAACAGAUUAAUUCUUCAAAUAAGUUAAUAUGAUUCAGUUGCUAGGUGCUUUCUUAAUUUUGGAGUGCAUUUAUAUUGAUUCGUGUGUCUUCUGUUUAUAAGUAUUCAGAAUUUUAGGAGAUAUUAAAUAACAUUGUGUCUUAAGGGUAGUCUAGGGAUUGUAUAGAUUCAAGUGUUUACCCACUUAAGAGGUUGCUAACCAGUGGUAGGGUCUAGGAAAUGCAUUGAUGAACUAAUAAAUUAUAAGCACUAAGUAGUUGAAUGAAUUAAAAAUGAAAAGGAGACUGAUAGUUGUUAGCUUAAUGCCCUUUUUAGAGUUGGAAAAUAAGAUAACAUGGGGGGCAUUUCAAAAAGGGAAAACAAUACAACUGUAAAGAAAAAGAGGAGCUGGAAAGGGGUAUUUUAUGAAGUAUAUAUAGACACACACACACACACACAGAGAGAACAGACAGAGAGAAAAAACAUUGGAAGAGGGUGAGAGAAAACGGAGAGUAAUAGAUAGAGAGAUAUAGGCAUUGAGAUAUACACAGCAGUCGGGUAUUCUGAAAUAGGAGAGAGGAAGAUAGAUAGAAAAAGGAAACAGAGAGAUUGAAGAGAAAUAAUCUAAAAUUAAAAAGGUUGUACUGUUUUUACUGUUUCAUCGAUCACUUUUGCAUUUUGGAUAUUUCUAAUCUCUGAAAGAGAAUUUAACUCAUCGGGGGUUUAAAAUAGAUGAAGAUGGGUUUGAAAGUUUGGUUUUGACGUGUUGAAGUUUACUUUUCGAUCGAACUUUUUUGGGCCUGCUGCACAUAACUUUUCUGUUCAACUUGGCUCUACUAGUUGCUGAGUUUCUCCUGCUGUACUGCUUGGCUAAUGAUUCUCAUUUGUUUUCUCGAUUUCAUAUUUCAGGUACAUGUCUCUAGACUUAUCUCACACAAGGUUUUGAUAUUGCAAUGAAAUGAAAUUCGGAGUUCCAAAUGUGUCUUCUGCACAUUCAAAUCUAUUAGUUUAGUUUCAGUUUUUUUUUAGUUAAUGGACAUGUCAUAUGCUCAACAUGGGAGCUAUUAGUCAACUUGCCUCUGUUGAAGUUAGUAUAGCUCUACAGUAAUUUUACUUACUUCUGAAGCUCAUUGGUUAUAGCUGGUUUUGAAUUGCUGUGAUGUGGAACUUGGUAGAAUGUUGACCAUUAGCUAAGUUUUGUGUAAGCCAUGUUAGCUAAGCGUAUGGUAGUAUUGAAAUAUCAAGGAACCACAAUAGUAUAUUUCGCCAAACAUCUGGAAUUUUUGUUUCAAUUCUAGUUGAGAUAAGUGCUCUUGUUUGUAUGUAAUCUUGUAUGAUAACAGCUAUUGGGAUAACCAUAAGUUAGAGGUAAAUUUAUAUAGUCCAUUAUGUUUAAAGUAUUGAAGUAUUUUGAG
rnacentral:lncRNA from 1 species